rnacentral:rRNA from 1 species
GUCGAGCGCCUCGCAAGAGGAGCGGCUGACGGGUGAGUAACGCGUGGGAAUCUACCCAUCUCUACGGAACAACUCCGGGAAACUGGAGCUAAUACCGUAUACAUCCUUCCGGAUAAAGAUUUAUCGAAGAUGGAUGGGCCCGCGUUGGAUUAGCUAGUUGGGGGGGUAAUGGCCUACCAAGGCGACUAUCCAUAGCUGGGCUGACAGGAUGAUCAACCUCACUGGGGCUGAAACAGAGCCCAAACUCCUACGGGAGGCAGCAGUGGGGAAUAUUGGACAAUGGGCGCAAGCCUGAUCCAUCCAUGCCGCGUGAGUGAUGAAGGCCCUAGGGUUGUAAAGCUCUUUCAACGGUGAAGAUAAUGACAGUAACCGUAGAAGAAGCCCCGGCUAACUUCGUGCCAGCAGCCGCGGUAAUACGAAGGGGGCUAACGUUGUUCGGAAUUACUGGGCGUAAAGCGCACGUAGGCGGAUUGUUAAGUUAGGGGUGAAAUCCCAGGGCUCAACCCUGGAACUGCCUUUAAUACUGGCAAUCUCGAGUCCAAGAGAGGUGAGUGGAAUUCCGAGUGUAGAGGUGAAAUUCGUAGAUAUUCUGAGGAACACCGGUGGCGAAGGCGGCUCACUGGCUCGGUACUGACG